rnacentral:rRNA from 1 species
AGAGUUUGAUCAUGGCUCAGAAUCAACGCUGGCGGCGCGCUUAACACAUGCAAGUCGCACGAGAAAGCGGGAGCAAUCUCGCAAGUACAGUGGCGUACGGGUGAGUAACACGUGGGUGAUCUACCCUUUAGUGGGGAAUAACGCUGGGAAACCGGCGCUAAUACCGCAUAAGCUCGAGAGAGGAAAGCAGCAAUGCGCUGAAGGAGGAGCCCGCGGCCGAUUAGCUAGUUGGUAGGGUAAGAGCCUACCAAGGCAUAGAUCGGUAGCCGGCCUGAGAGGGCACACGGCCACACUGGCACUGAAACACGGGCCAGACUCCUACGGGAGGCAGCAGUGGGGAAUCUUGCACAAUGGGGGAAACCCUGAUGCAGCGACGCCGCGUGAGCGAUGAAGCCCUUCGGGGUGUAAAGCUCUUUCGUCAGGGACGAUAAUGACGGUACCUGGAGAAGCAGCUGCGGCUAACUACGUGCCAGCAGCCGCGGUAAUACGUAGGCAGCGAGCGUUGUUCGGAGUUACUGGGCGUAAAGGGUGUGUAGGCGGUUUUCUAAGUUUGGUGUGAAAUCUCCCGGCUCAACCGGGAGGGUGCGCCGAAAACUGGGAGACUAGAGUGCGGGAUGGGAGAGUAGAAUUCCUGGUGUAGCGGUGAAAUGCGUAGAUAUCAGGAGGAAUACCGGUGGUGUAGACGGCUCUCUGGACCGCCACUGACGCUGAGACACGAAAGCGUGGGUAGCAAACAGGAUUAGAUACCCUAGUAGUCC